UACGGAGGAUGCAAGCGUUAUCCGGAAUUAUUGGGCGUAAAGCGUCCGUAGGUGGCUAAUCAAGUCUGCUGUCAAAGCGUGGAGCUUAACUCCAUACCGGCGGUGGAAACUGAUGAGCUAGAAUGCGAUAGGGGUAGCAGGAAUUCCCAGUGUAGCGGUGAAAUGCGUAGAGAUUGGGAAGAACACCAGCGGCGAAAGCGUGCUACUGGGUCUGCACUGACACUGAGGGACGAAAGCUAGGGGAGCGAAAGGG
rnacentral:rRNA from 1 species